rnacentral:rRNA from 1 species
GUAGUGACGAAAAAUAACGAUGCAGAACUCAAUCCGAGGCUCUGCAAUCGGAAUGAGUACACUCUAAAUCAUUUAACGAGUAUCCAUUGGAGGACAAGUCUGGUGCCAGCACCCGCGGUAAUUCCAGCUCCAAUAGCGUAUAUUAAAGUUGUUGCGGUUAAAAAGCUCGUAGUUGGAACUGUGUUCCACGCUGUCGGUUCACCGUUUUGUCGGUGUUUAACUGACAUGUCGUGGUACGUCCUGCCGGUUGGUGGCGUGUCCUCUAUUCUUUCGGGGAUAUGGGGAUGCGUCUGCCAGUUCCAAUCCUGUCGCGGUGCUCUUAAACGAGUGUCGAGGCGGGCCGGCACGUUUACCUUGAACAAAUUUGAGUGCUUAAUGCAGGCUGUUAUCGCCGGAAAACUGAGUGCAUGGAAUAAUAUAAUAGGACCGCGGUUCUAUUUUGUUGGUUUUCAGAAUCCGAGGUAAUGAUUAAUAGGGACUGGCGGGGGCAUUAGUAUUGCGGCGUUAGAGGUGAAAUUCUUGGAUCGUCGCAAGACUAACCUAAGCGAAAGCAUUUGCCAAGGAUGCUUCCAUUAAUCAAGAACGAAAGUUAGAGGUUCGAAGGCGAUCAGAUACCGCCCUAGUUCUAACCAUAAACGAUGCCAGCCAGCGAUCCGUCGACGUUCUUUUAUGACUCGGCGGGCAGCUUCCGGGAAACUAAAGCAUUUGGGUUCCGGGGGAAGUAUGGUUGCAAAGCUGAAACUUAAAGGAAUUGACGGAAAGGCACCACCAGGAGUGGAGCCUGCGGCUUAAUUUGACUCAACACGGGAAAUCUCACCAGGCCAGAACACCAGGUGGAUUGACAGAUUGAGAGCUCUUUCUUGAUUUGGUGGUGGUGGUGCAUGGCCG